AAUCUCUGGAGAGUAGCUGUAAUGGCCGCCGAAGGUGUAAGCUGACAAACGUCAGUGUAUCUCUCAGGCAAAAGGGACAGAGUU
rnacentral:ncRNA from 1 species